rnacentral:rRNA from 1 species
UACGUAGGGUGCAAGCGUUGUCCGGAAUUAUUGGGAGUAAAGAGCUCGUAGGCGGUUUGUAGCGUCGAAUGUGAAAACCCGGGGCUCAACCCCGGGCCUGCAUUCGAUACGGGCAGACUAGAGUUCGGUAGGGGAGUCUGGGAUUCCUGGUGUAGCGGUGAAAUGCGCAGAUAUCAGGAGGAACACCGGUGGCGAAGGCGGGACUCUGGGCCGAUACUGACGCUGAGGAGCGAAAGCGUGGGGAGCGAACAGG